rnacentral:rRNA from 1 species
GUAGGUGGCAAGCGUUGUCCGGAAUUAUUGGGCGUAAAGCGCGCGCAGGCGGUCCUUUAAGUCUGAUGUGAAAGCCCACGGCUCAACCGUGGAGGGUCAUUGGAAACUGGGGGACUUGUGUACAGAAGAGGAAAGCGGAAUUCCAAGUGUAGCGGCGAAAUGCGUAGAGAUUUGGAGGAACACCAGUGGCGAAGGCGGCUUUCUGGUCUGUAACUGACGCUGAGGCGCGAAAGCGUGGGGAGCAAACAGGAUUAGAUACCCUGGUAGUCCACGCCGUAAACGAUGAGUGCUAAGUGUUAGGGGGUUUCCCGCCCCCCUUAGUGCUGCAGCUAACGCAUUAAGCACUCCGCCUGGGGAGUACGGCCGCAAGGCUG